rnacentral:lncRNA from 1 species
GGGUUAAUUUUUAAUAUUCUCUGGGUAAGGUAAAAGGGAAGACAGGAGCCCAGAGCCCACGACGCGCUUCUACAGCUCUCGCUCUUUGUUCCCAAGUCUCCUCCCCUCUUCUUUGUCUGGGAGGAAGGCCGGAGGAUGAUCACGUGGCAGGAGGGGCGGUGCUCCUGGCGGUUCCUGGGCUCCGAGCUGGGAACCAGGGUGAGUUUUGCAGGCGGCUCUUUUUUUUUUUUUUUUUUUUUUUUGUCAUUUACUCUUUGUCUUGGUUACUGAUGUGGCUGUGUGACCGCAACCCUAGGAUUUUCUUCCCUCCAACUCCAAACGCCAGUUCCUUAGAUCUCCCUGUUUUAAGAUGUCCCUCGAUUGAGAAGUCCUGCCUCCGAGUCGUGAUCCGGGGAAUUUUCUACUCUGAGUGACUGGUGGUCAAGACAGAAAAGGGACUGCUGCCAGCUUCUGUGGAGCUUAGCUCUGCUUCCCUGAAAUUCUACGACAUGGGGAAGUGGGGUCUCCUUUGGGGCCCCAGCCUCAGAGAGUCGGCUUUGUACCUGGACUGGCUAUGCUGCCUCUCCUGGGAGGAUUCGCCAGGACCAUGCACGCUGCAGCCUGUGCCCUUUCUCUAGGCCGCAUUCUGGACACAAGAGCUCCUCACAAGCACCAAAGAGUCAAGUCUGUUUUCAGGACUUACAUGGCCUUCUCUUGGUGUUACCACUCUUGAGUAUGGGCUAUGCCUCAAGGAAGGCCCAAAUGGGGUCACUGGGUGUUAGUGUUUGUUGUUUAUUGCUGGUUUUGGUGACAGAAUGGAGCAUAGAUAUGCUAGGCAUACUCUGAAAGUGAUAGACAAAGGCCUGUCCCUCACCCCCAAGCCAUCUAACUGAGGUAGUUGAGGGGGCUGGAGAGAUGGCUCAGCAGUUAAGAACACUGGCUGCUCUUCCAGAGGACUUGGAUUCCAUUCUCAGCACCCACAUUAUAGCUAACAGCUACCCAAAAUUCUAAUUCUAGGGGAUCCGACACCCUCUUCCGGCCUCUGAGGAUACGUCACGCAUGAGCUGUGCAGGCAUACAUGCAGGCACUAUACCAAUACAUAUAAAAUAAAAAUAAACAAAUCUUUUAUUUUAAAAGACUG